rnacentral:rRNA from 1 species
GACGAACGCUGGCGGCGUGCUUAACACAUGCAAGUCGAGCGGUAAGGCCCUUUCGGGGGUACACGAGCGGCGAACGGGUGAGUAACACGUGGGUGACCUGCCCUCAGCUCUGGGAUAAGCCUGGGAAACCGGUCUAAUACUGGAUAUGACUCCAUGACGCAUGUUGUGGGGUGGAAAGCCUUGUGCGGCUGAGGAUGGGCCCGCGGCCUAUCAGCUUGUUGGUGGGGUGAGGCCUACCAAGGCGACGAUGGGUAGCCGGCCUGAGAGGGCGACCGGCCACACUGGGACUGAGACACGGCCCAGACUCCUACGGGAGGCAGCAGUGGGGAAUCUUGCGCAAUGGGCGAAAGCCUGACGCAGCGACGCCGCGUGAGGGAUGAAGGCCUCGGUUGUAAGACUC